CACAUGGAGGGUGGAUAAUUUGAGUUUUGGACACAGAGCAUCACGGGUGGUGCCUUGGCCAGCUGUGUGCUGAGGUCAGCCUGGACUUGGACAUCUUGCGUUCUGCUCUUUGCCUUCUCCUUUUGUCCUCCCUGAGCACAAGAAGACCAAUCCUCUGUCACCCAUCCGGCACAAACAGGGAAGCAAAUCUAAAAAGCACCAGCAGGGAUGCAGCAAGCACACAAUGAGGAAAAGCAGAAAGAAGAAUGACCCCGUGCCAGUGUUACAAGCAGCUUCCUGAAAGCAGCUUGCGGCCAGGAAAACCGCUGGAUCAAAUCCCUCAGAGGAGGAGAAAGUCCAGGGACUUCUUUGUGGCCUUUCAGAUUGAUAUGUCCACUCCAGUUCACUGGCUGUGCUCAAACUGGAAGAUAUCAUGCAUAGGAGUGGAGAUCCUCACGUCUUGGACCAUGCUCUGAACAAUCUGAUCUAGCUGUAGGUGUCCCUGUUCACUGCUGGGGAGGUGGAUGAGGUGGCCUUUAAGGGUCCCUUCCACCUCUAUGAUUCCACAUCCACGCACAGCACAGGGCUGCUUCCAGAGCCUGCUUCUCCUACCUGCCCUUCCUCAGCCCUGCUCUCCAGGAGACUAGAGUGACAGACAUGCCUGUGUUCAAAUCUUCAGACACUAAUCUUCCCGGGUUGCAUCUUUGUCAUACGGGAUUUUAAUGGAGUAACAGAGUGAGGUCAUCACAGCCGGCUGCACUUUUAUUUCAGCGUGGUCGCUAUAGCAGCCAACGUCAAAACAAAACAUAUAGUUCACCAAAGCAAAGUUUCCUGGCUGAUGGUGUUCAUUUUUCUUUAUGAGCUGACUUUGGAAGACAGUGAAGCAGCAGCCAAUGGAAACUCAAAUGUCUUUCUCUCUCCCCUGUCUGCUCCUCCGUCUCUGCAGCGAUCGAGAUAAAGGUUAGACAUCUGUUUCGGAUCUGCUCUGUUUAAGUGAAGGAAAGACUCUCAUAAAUCACCCUGCAGCUGGAGCACAGUCCCGAUUCGUUGCCAUUUACCCCACGGCACACAGCUCAGCCCUGAGCUCUGCUGCUGGGAGGGCUGAGCCUCCUGCCAUUUUGUGAGCACUCCCCACCUUGCUCUGCAGCUGGCUGUCGCCUACACAAAUGAGGGAUGAUCAUAAAGUCAUGGAAUCACCAAAGUUGGAAAAGACCUCCAAGAUCAUCCAGUCCCACCAUCCACCUACCACCAUUAUUUCCCUACUAAGCCCUGUCCCUUAGUGUAAUAUCUACAUGUUUCUCAAACACCUCCAGGGUCGAUGUCUCCACCACCUCCCUGCGACAGAGGGACAAAAGGAGAAGGAUGGACAAACACCUACCCAACGCCUAGGA